AGCGAACGCUGGCGGCAGGCCUAACACAUGCAAGUCGAACGAACUCUUCGGAGUUAGUGGCGGACGGGUGAGUAACACGUGGGAACGUGCCUUUAGGUUUGGAAUAACUCAGGGAAACUUGUGCUAAUACCGAAUGUGCCCUUCGGGGGAAAGUUUUAUCGCCUUUAGAGCGGCCCGCGUCUGAUUAGCUAGUUGGUGAGGUAAGGGCUAACCAAGGCGACGAUCAGUAGCUGGUCUGAGAGGAUGAUCAGCCACAUUGGGACUGAGACACGGCCCAAACUCCUCCGGGAGGCAGCAGUGGGGAAUCUUGCGCAAGGGGCAAAAGCCUGACGCAGCCAUGCCGCGUGAAUGAUGAAGGUCUUAGGAUUGUAAAAUUCUUCCACCGGGGACGAUAAUGACGGUACCCGGAGAAGAAGCCCCGGCUAACUUCGUGCCAGCCGCCGCCGUAA
rnacentral:rRNA from 1 species